rnacentral:rRNA from 1 species
CGUAGGUGGCAAGCGUUGUCCGGAGUUACUGGGUGUAAAGGGCGUGUAGGCGGGAAGAUAAGUCAGAUGUGAAAUUCCAUGGCUCAACUGUGGCGCUGCAUCUGAAACUAUCUUCUUGAGUGAUGGAGAGGAAAGCGGAAUUCCUAGUGUAGCGGUGAAAUGCGUAGAUAUUAGGAGGAACACCAGUGGCGAAGGCGGCUUUCUGGACAUUAACUGACGCUGAGGCGCGAAAGCGUGGGGAGCAAACAGGAUUAGAUACCCUGGUAGUCCACGCUGUAAACGAUGGAUACUAGGUGUAGGAGGUAUCGACCCCUUCUGUGCCGGAGUUAACACAAUAAGUAUCCCACCUGGGGAGUACGGCCGCAAGGUUG